AUCCCUGUAGCGCAAUGGAUAGCACGUUGGACUUCUAAUCCAAAGAUCGUGGGUUCAAAUCCUACCUGGGAUG
rnacentral:tRNA from 1 species